GUCGUCGUGGCCGAGUGGUUAAGGCGACAGACUUGAAAUCUUUUGGGCCCCGCCCGCACUAGUUCGAAUCUUGUCGGCGACG
rfam:Ciona savignyi cont_29449, whole genome shotgun sequence.